UACGUAGGGUCCGAGCGUUGUCCGGAAUUAUUGGGCGUAAAGGGCUCGUAGGCGGUUUGUCGCGUCGGGAGUGAAAACCUUGGGCUUAACUCAGGGCUUGCUUUCGAUACGGGCAGACUAGAGGUAUGCAGGGGAGAACGGAAUUCCUGGUGUAGCGGUGAAAUGCGUAGAGAUCAGGAAGAACACCCGUGGCGAAGGCGGCCCACUGGGCCGGUACUGACGCUGAGGCGCGAAGGCGUGGGGGAGCGAACGGG
rnacentral:rRNA from 1 species